AGCAGCGUGGCUCAGUGGAAAGAGCCUGGGCUUCAGAGUCAAGUGUCAUGGGUUCGACUCCCGGCUCUGCCA
rnacentral:tRNA from 1 species